GACGAACGCUGGCGGCGUGCCUAAUACAUGCAAGUAGAACGCUGAAGGAGGAGCUUGCUCUUCUGGAUGAGUUGCGAACGGGUGAGUAACGCGUAGGUAACCUGCCUGGUAGCGGGGGAUAACUAUUGGAAACGAUAGCUAAUACCGCAUAACAGUAGAUGUUGCAUGACAUUUACUUAAAAGGUGCAAUUGCAUCACUACCAGAUGGACCUGCGUUGUAUUAGCUAGUUGGUGGGGUAACGGCUCACCAAGGCGACGAUACAUAGCCGACCUGAGAGGGUGAUCGGCCACACUGGGACUGAGACACGGCCCAGACUCCUACGGGAGGCAGCAGGAGGGAAUCUUCGGCAAUGGACGGAAGUCUGACCGAGCAACGCCGCGUGAGUGAAGAAGGUUUUCGGAUCGUAAAGCUCUGUUGUAAGAGAAGAACGAGUGUGAGAGUGGAAAGUUCACACUGUGACGGUAUCUUACCAGAAAGGGACGGCUAACUACGUG
rnacentral:rRNA from 1 species